GGGGGGGGGGGAGGAGGACCCCAGGGCUCCACUCCCAAGUUGUUGCCACAUUCUAAGUGAAACGAAUUCAUGUGAAUUACCAGAAGCUCCUCCGCUGUGGCUUUAACUCAAAUGAAAUGACGACAAACGUAUUUUUUUCCUGUUUUAUUUCAAAGUCAUGCCACAAGUUGACAUUACAUACAAAAGAAAGAAGUAUAAUUUCAGCUUGCAGCUAUAUAAAAUAACCACAGUGUAACCGAGAACAACAAACACGCAUUGAAAGAAAACAAAUACAAGUAAUAGAAAAGGAAAGCUCACGUUGAGAAGAAGACACAGACAAAGCGCACAGCACAGAACACACAGCACAGCUCUCUGAAGCCCAGCCAUCAGUAAACAUACCGGUUUGGAACGCGAGGUUAAGUGUAUAUAUAAAAUUAACAAGGUUAUAAAAUACUGACAAAAAGAUCCUUGUUAGAAAGACCGAAGCGUCUUCUAGAAGUGCCACCAUGCAGAAGGUAUUCCAGUCUCCAGUUAAUAAACAUCAGCAGAAAAAUACAAGAAGAAUCACAAGCUCGUUCCUGGCGUGGACGGCGCUCGGCCUCAGGUAAAAAUGUCGGUGACGAGCAACCGGAGUCGAACUCAACGUCUCGUGGCGCUCGGCGCAUGCAGCAGCUUCCAAGUUGACGAGGACGUGAGAUGAGAAGGCGAGCGAACCUCGGCCCACAUCGCCGCGUUGCUGAGCGAACGGAAAAAAAAGCCUCUUAAAAACCCACAAAACAAAAAACUAAAUUAUCUUUCUCUUCUACCUUAUUCCAACUAAAAUCCAUGCGAGGCAUUAUGGGGCUCGGAAUAAAUCCAUCAUUAGAUUCCUCUUCGUAUUCCUGCUGAUCACCAGAGGUCGUGAUCAACUUCCUCCCUAAAUAAAUGUCUGGAAUAUCCGGUAUAACAUCCAUCAAAACAUGGAAGCCAUCACAACGACGGAUAAGUCAAGUUGCUGCUACUUUUAUAUGCAUACUGUAUACUGCAGGUUACUGAAUAGAAAAUAUUAGAAAACUGAAUACUGUUGUAAUGCAUGCAAGCCUUCUACCUCACACAGUAUGUUUAUCAAAGUAGCAACAGCAGAUUUAGUUUUUACACUCAGAGAAAGACUCAAAUAAAUUUAUAUAUAUAUAUAUAUAUAUAUAUAUAUAUAUAUAUAUAUAAUAUAUUCGUAAUGCUGCGAGCAGAUUUGAAGCGCUUUUGCUACAUGCACUGGCAUUUUUGGGGAUUUGUACAAAAGUCAGACGCUGUGAGCAGUUCAUUCAACGGAGUUUUGUGUUCUUAAAACCCGCUUUGGCACGGCCGUGCAGAACACAUAUGUACAGAAAAACAACAAGCGUUGCAGCGAAUGUCCAGAAAAACAGUCAAGGUCCACAACUCCAACCAGGCCCGGUUGGUCUAGAAGCUGGAGUGUAUACAUUGUGUGUGUGGGGGGGGGUUAAUAAAAAAUGGUUGCUGAAAACUUGUAUAUUUAAAAUACAGUUUGAGAGAAACUGGAAUAUAAAAGAUUAGUGAAACAGACUGCAAAACGUUAUGUUAAAUGGCGUGAAAGUUGCAUCCAAAUGCAGCAAGCAAAGUCUAAUUCUUUAGCUCCCGCCUGCGUCACCGAGCCCAAACGUGUGCCUCGUUAUUAUUUUUCCAUACAAAACCAAAAAUUUAAACUAUUUUGAAAGAAUUUCCAGAAUCCCUCAAGACUCUUCUAAGCACGUGGAUCAGAACAGUUUAAAUCCAAUGCAC
ensembl:lncRNA